rnacentral:rRNA from 1 species
UGGUGGAGUGAUUUGUCUGCUUAAUUGCGAUAACGAACGAGACUCUGGCCUACUAACUAGAAGACAGUUCUUCGAGACUGUCAUACUUCUUAGAGGGAUAAGGGGAUUGAAGCCCCAAGAGAUUGAGCAAUAACA